rnacentral:rRNA from 1 species
GAGCGGCCGAUGUCCGAUUAGCUAGUUGGUGGGGUAAAGGCCCACCAAGGCGACGAUCGGUAGCUGGUCUGAGAGGAUGAUCAGCCACACUGGGACUGAGACACGGCCCAGACUCCUACGGGAGGCAGCAGUGGGGAAUUUUGGACAAUGGGGGCAACCCUGAUCCAGCCAUGCCGCGUGCGGGAAGAAGGCCUUCGGGUUGUAAACCGCUUUUGUCCGGGAAGAAAAGGUUCACCUUAAUACGGUGGAUUCUUGACGGUACUGGAAGAAUAAGCACCGGCUAACUACGUGCCAGCAGCCGCGGUAAUACGUAGGGUGCGAGCGUUAAUCGGAAUUACUGGGCGUAAAGCGUGCGCAGGCGGUUCGCUGUGUCUGCGGUGAAAGCCCCGGGCUCAACCUGGGAAUGGCCGUGGAAACUGGCGGGCUGGAGUGUGGCAGAGGGGGGUGGAAUUCCGCGUGUAGCAGUGAAAUGCGUAGAGAUGCGGAGG